UGAAAAUGCGGCAACAAGAAA
rnacentral:piRNA from 1 species